rnacentral:rRNA from 1 species
UACGUAGGCAGCAAGCGUUGUUCGGAGUUACUGGGCGUAAAGGGUGUGUAGGCGGUUGUUUAAGUUUGGUGUGAAAUCUCCCGGCUCAACUGGGAGGGUGCGCCGAAUACUGAAUGACUGGAGUGUGGGAGAGGUGAGUGGAAUUCCUGGUGUAGCGGUGAAAUGCGUAGAUAUCAGGAGGAACACCGGUGGUGUAGACGGCUCAUUGGACCAUAACUGACGCUGAGACACGAAAGCGUGGGUAGCAAACAGG